GCCUGGGUGGCUCAGUCGGUUGAGCGUCCGACUUCGGCUCAGGUCAUGAUCUCACGGUUCGUGAGUUCAAGCCCCACGUCGGGCU
rnacentral:tRNA from 1 species